GACGAACGCUGGCGGCGUGCUUAACACAUGCAAGUCGAACGGAAAGGCCCUGCUUUUGUGGGGUGCUCGAGUGGCGAACGGGUGAGUAACACGUGAGUAACCUGCCCUUGACUUUGGGAUAACUUCAGGAAACUGGGGCUAAUACCGGAUAGGAGCUCCUGCUGCAUGGUGGGGGUUGGAAAGUUUCGGCGGUUGGGGAUGGAGGCGGGGCUUAUCAGCUUGUUGGUGGGGUAGUGGCUUACCAAGGCUUUGAAGGGUAGCCGGACUGGGAGGGUGACCGGCCACAUUGGGAUUGGGAUACGGCCCGGACGCCUACGGGAGACAGAAGUGGAGAAUAUUGCACAAUGGGCGGAAGCCUGAUGCAGCAACGCCGCGUGCGGGAUGACGGCCUUCGGGUUGUAAAGCGCUUUCGCCUGUGACGAAGCGUGAGUGACGGUAAUGGGUAAAGAAGCACCGGCUAACUACGUG
rnacentral:rRNA from 1 species